AUUAAUGUGAAUCUAGGACGGUUUAAUCAUACUUAUUAUUCUUUUCCUUAGGUGCCAUUAUAAAUCAUUACACAAAGUGCAUUCCAUUUGAAAAUAAAAUACGCCCUUCAAAAACGUUUAGUACACUGUAUUAAAUACAAUUUUAUUUAGAUUGAGUUAUUAUGUUUUUCAUUAUCUAUUUUAUUAAAAAGAGGGCAGUCUAAGUUAUGAAACUUGGGCCCAAUCCAAAUUGUAUUCUUGUACAAUAAAAUAUGUUCAAAUCAAUCAAAUUAAAUAGGCAGUCAAACUGAAAAAAAAAAACAUGGAUGUUUUACUUCAGAUUUACCCGUUGUAUCGUUAGAAAAUAACGUUGAUUAUGAGAGUUGAUGUACAUAAAAAUCCCUUUCAAAUACCUAAUUAAUGUAUUUACACAUUUAUGAGCUUCUAGAAAUUGAAGGGUCGUUUUAACCUGAUUAAUCUUUUAUCGUUUACUUGUACCACAUGGUUUUUGAUUGUCAGUGGCACGUGCUGAAAACUAAAAGAAUUUCGCCCGACUACAGUCAUAAUGGAGUACGAGGUAAAAUGGACUUUUUAAACGGAACACCUCAUCCCUUUCUCGAUAAAUACUAAUUGGAGUACCAAUAUCAGUUUAUUUUAACAUGAACAUGUAUAUAUUUCUCAAAAAACCCUUCACGGGGCCUCACUUACAAAAUAAAUUUACACUGUAGCAUUUCCUGGAUUAAAAUCAAAGAAAGAAAACGUAAAAUAUAUACUUGCAAAACAAUAAUUCUAGUUAUUUUUAAAUCUUUGAACAAUUAUUACCUGGAAGAAGUAGAAAAGACUAUUAACAAACCUGUAUGUGUUUUGUUUAUAGUAAAUACGCAUCCGUAAUGGUAUAGAAUUUUGAACCCCGCAACAUGUUGCAAUGUGUAUAUUAAUGGACCAUAAAUAAUUAUUAAAUUGGUUUA
rnacentral:misc_RNA from 1 species